ensembl:lncRNA
AGGAAAGGAGGGGAGAAGGAAGGAGGGAGAGUAGAAAUAACCAACUGAGCAAUAGAGGACGUUUGACAUAUAAUUUCCUUCUAUACUUUGAGCCUGAUCUUUUCUCUCCCUCUCACACUUCCCUCUCUCUCUCUCUCUCUCUCUCUCUCUCUCUCUCUCUCUCUCUUCUUCUUCUUUCUUCUUCUAUCGGUAAGUCUUACACCACUACUUUGAUAGAGGGAUAGAAAGGGACGAGUAAAUGAUAUGUCUCUGAGAGCUGACAGCUCAAGGAACACAGAUGCAGAGUUGUUUCGCUUUUCUUCUCUCUGCAGUUGUCAACGGCUGCAUUUGCAUAUUUCUAAAGUCUACCAAAGAAAAUAGCCUGCAGCUAGAGUAACCUAGCCACUGUGCAUAUUGGAGACAGAAACAGAGAGGGAGAGGGAGGGAGUGCAGACAGUGAAAGACCAAACCAGGGAAGACAGGACCUGGAAAGUGAGAGAGAGUGAAAGAAAAGGUUGGAUGGAGCAUGGGAUCUGGGACAAUCCUGCUGCCCUCGUGGACUGGAGUUUAUAGUGCACCUCUUCUCUGCAGCCCUGAGUACAGAGAUAGACAGGGAGAGAUAGAGCAAAUGAGAGAAAAUAGGGAGAGAGAGGGGGAAAGGAAAAGACAGAGAGAGAGAGAGAGAGAGAGAGUGCAAAAUAAAAGAGAGAGAGAGAGAAAGAGAGAGAGAGAGGGAGCAAAAGCGAGUGAGAGAGCAAAAGAGAGAAGAGAAUGAGAGUAAAAAGAGAGAGAACAGAGGGAGAGAGGGCUAAAAUAUGUGCAUCAUAAGGACUCUUCAGCUUCCUUCAUGAAUAUCAAACAGUCGACCCUGGCCUGUUCCAUGCUGCGUCAACACAACACAUGAGAAACAUUACUGCUCUCCUCCCUUUGUACACACACAGCAAUAUGCAUAGAGUUGGUUCUCCUGACCACACCACCUGACCUGAUCAGGGAGGACUCUGGACCCUGGUUAGAGGCUAUAGGUCUCCUGGUCAGGGACGACUCUGGACCCUGGUUAUGGGCUAUAUGUCUCCUGGUCAGGGAGGACUCUGGACCCUGGUUAUGGGCUAUAUGUCUCCUGGUCAGGGAGGACUCUGGACCCUGUUUAGAGGCUAUAGGUCUACUGGUCAGGGAGGACUCUGGACCCUGGUUCGAGGAUAUAGGUCUACUGGUCAGGGACGACUCUGGACCCUGGUUAUGGGCUAUAAGUCUCCUGAUGAGCGAAAACUCCUGGCCCUGUAUAUGUGUGAUGAGAGGGGUACCGAAGGCUAUUAUAGAGUGUGUCGGUGGUGUUCGCAUCAUGGCUACAUCAUCAUCAAUCAUUUAACAAAGGUCAUUAAACCAUUAUUAUUCUGUUUUGUCAACAGCCAUGAUACCAUGAUGAUGCAUGUUGCAUCCCUUACAGAAAAAACAUUUGUUUGGAAACCUUCACGUGAUCACGUUUUCACAUUUGUGGUUUCAUGUUGUCGCUUGUUGCUUUACACUUUGUAAGAAACCUCCUCUCUACCUAACCAAAGACAGUACAGUGUGAAGAUAGGCAGAAAUUGCUUCUCCAUUCGUAAACCCUGAUCACACUUGAACUCAUUGCGGCGUUGGCUGGCUAAGCUCAUGAGCAGAAACACGUCAUCGGGUGUAACGGUCGUCUCGUGCCGAACUGCCAUUGUGCAGGCCGUCAACUCAAAGGCCCUCCAUCAAUAUAAAGUUGUUUUUGACGAAAAUCAAAACGUGUCAGUUUGUCACUUUCAGGAGGUUGGGUGCGAUGUUUCAGUUUCAAUGACUCAAUAUUUUGGACAAAUACAGCCUACUGUAUGCUCUCGUUGGCUGGCCCUCACUUCAUACUCGUCACCAAACCCACUGGCUCCAGGUCAUCCACAAGACCCUGCUAGGUAAAGUCCCCCCUUAUCUCAGCUCACUGGUCACCAUAGCAUCACCCACCUGUAGCACACGCUCCAGCAGGUAUAUCUCUCUAGUCACCCCCAAAACCAAUUCUUUCUUUGGCCGCCUCUCCUUCCAGUUCUCUGCUGCCAAUGACUGGAACGAACUGCAAAAAUCUCUGAAACUGGAAACACAUAUCUCCCUCACUAGCUUUAAGCACCAGCUGUCAGAGCAGCUCACAGAUUACUGCACCUGUACAUAGCCCAUCUAUAAUUUAGCCCAAACAACUACCUCUUGCCCUACUAUAUUUAUUUUGCUCCUUUGCACCCCAUUAUUUCUAUCUCUACUUUGCACAUUCUUCCACUGCAAAAUCUACCAUUCCAGUGUUUUACUUGCUAUAUUGUAUUUACUUCGCCACCAAGGCCUUUUUUUUGCCUUUACCUCCCUUAUCUCACCUCAUUUGCUCACAUCGUAUAUAGACUUAUUUUUCUACUGUAUUAUUGACUAAAUGUUUGUUUUAUUCCAUGUGUAACUCUGUUGUUGUAUGUGUCGAACUGCUUUGCUUUAUCUUGGUCAGGUCGCAAUUGUAAGUGAGAACUUGUUCUCAACUUGCCUACCUGGUUAAAUAAAUAAAGGUGAAAUAAAAAAUAUAUACAUUUAAAAAGGCUGGGAAUUUCAAUACAAUCAAACUGGCAAGGACAAUGAUCACAAAUCAGUCAAAACCUGGCGAAUAGAGUAGCAGAUCUAUUUAUGUAGCUAUUUGUUUAGGAAGUUGAAAACACAUUAUCAACAGAUGUAUAUCAACAGAUUUUCAUUGGAUUUCAUGUUGCUAAAAUGCUGUCAGAUCCACUUUAGACAGUGUCUCAGAUCUAGGUUGUGCCUUUAGAUUUAGAGAAAAUGAAUAGCAAAGAAGGUGUCUUCACUUCUCUCAUUGAUUUAUCAAACCCCUGUCUGGUCUGUAGGGUCUGCUUCCCAAGCGCAAGAGAAUCGCGAUGUUGCGUCUCUGGGUUAAGAAACUCUGUGACCUAACCUUCCAUCACAGUCGCCUUAGUUCCCCCGCGGUCCCGAUAGCGUGAUAUUUCAAUUCAAUUCAUUUCAAUUCAAGGGCCUUUAUUGUCAUGGGAAACGUGUUAACAUUGCCAAAGCAAUGUCACCAUCUCAGCUGUCCAUCAAAGCCCUUUAGCUUCAGCCAAUCAGUGUGCCCACAUGCACAUCUGGACUUGGACCCCUCCCACCCCAUGUCAGAGUGUUUUAGUCCGAGGAAGAGGAAAGUUUUGGCCUGGAAGAUUGUGCGUACAUCUAAGAAAAAAGUACAUUCCUAUUGUAACCGAAGAUCCUGCAUGUGUGUGUUAAUUAUGUGUGGUGGUGAUGAAGAAAAAUACAAGUCUUGGACUGUUCCUGACAGAUAGCAUGUAGCGAGUCAGAACAUCUAGAAACAAGCAUGAAGUAAGCCUACAUCUACAAGCAUUAAGUAGGCCUACAUCUACAAGCAUUAAGUAGACCUACAUCUACAAGCCUUAAGUAGGCCUACAUCUACAAGCAUUAAGUAGGCCUACAUCUACAAGCAUUAAGUAGAC